rnacentral:rRNA from 1 species
GACGAACGCUGGCGGCGUGCUUAACACAUGCAAGUCGAGCGGUAAGGCCCUUUUGGGGGUACACGAGCGGCGAACGGGUGAGUAACACGUGGGUGACCUGCCUUCAGCUCUGGGAUAAGCUUGGGAAACUGGGUCUAAUACCGGAUGUGACUGUCUGCCGCAUGGUGGGUGGUGGAAAGUUCUCGGGCUUUGGUCUGGGUUCGGCUGGGGAUGGGCCUGCGGCCUAUCAGCUUGUUGGUGGGGUGAUGGCCUACCAAGGCGACGACGGGUAGCCGGCCUGAGAGGGCGACCGGCCACACUGGGACUGAGACACGGCCCAGACUCCUACGGGAGGCAGCAGUGGGGAAUAUUGCGCAAUGGGCGGAAGCCUGACGCAGCGACGCCGCGUGGGGGAUGACGGCCUUCGGGUUGUAAACCUCUUUCGCCAUCGACGAAGGUUCUGUGGUUGUGAGGCUGCAGGGUUGACGGUAGGUGGAGAAGAAGCACCGGCCAACUACGUGCCAGCAGCCGCGGUAAUACGUAGGGUGCGAGCGUUGUCCGGAAUUAUUGGGCGUAAAGAGCUCGUAGGCGGUGUGUCGCGUCGGCCGUGAAAACCUGCAGCUUAACUGUGGGCGUGCGGUCGAUACGGGCAUCACUGGAGUUCGGCAGGGGAGACUGGAAUUCCUGGUGUAGCGGUGAAAUGCGCAGAUAUCAGGAGGAACACCGGUGGCG